ACGCUGGCGGCAGGCCUAACACAUGCAAGUCGAGCGGUAGAGAGAAGCUUGCUUCUCUUGAGAGCGGCGGACGGGUGAGUAAUGCCUAGGAAUCUGCCUGGUAGUGGGGGAUAACGUUCGGAAACGGACGCUAAUACCGCAUACGUCCUACGGGAGAAAGCAGGGGACCUUCGGGCCUUGCGCUAUCAGAUGAGCCUAGGUCGGAUUAGCUAGUUGGUGGGGUAAUGGCUCACCAAGGCGACGAUCCGUAACUGGUCUGAGAGGAUGAUCAGUCACACUGGAACUGAGACACGGUCCAGACUCCUACGGGAGGCAGCAGUGGGGAAUAUUGGACAAUGGGCGAAAGCCUGAUCCAGCCACGCCGCGUGUGUGAAGAAGGUCUUCGGAUUGUAAAGCACUUUAAGUUGGGAGGAAGGGUUGUAGAUUAAUACUCUGCAAUUUUGACGUUACCGACAGAAUAAGCGCCGGCUAACUCUGUGCCAGCAGCCGCGGUAAUACAGAGGGUGCAAGCGUUAAUCGGAAUUACUGGGCGUAAAGCGCGCGUAGGUGGUUAGUUAAGUUGGAUGUGAAAUCCCCUGGCUCAACCUGGGAACUGCAUUCAAAACUGACUGACUAGAGUAUGGUAGAGGGUGGUGGAAUUUCCUGUGUAGCGGUGAAAUGCGUAGAUAUAGGAAGGAACACCAGUGGCGAAGGCGACCACCUGGACUGAUACUGACACUGAGGUGCGAAAGCGUGGGGAGCAAAC
rnacentral:rRNA from 1 species